AUUGAACACUAGCGGGAUGCCAUACACAUGCACGUCGAACGGAGUGGCGAAAGGGUGAGUAAUGUCUCGGCACGUGCUCAGUAGUCAGGGAUAACUACGCGAAAGCGAAGCUAAUACCGGCUACGCUUGGAGCGGCCGUUAUCGGAUUAGGGAGUUUGUGGGGUAACGGCUCACCAAGGCGAAGAGCCGUAGAUGGUUUGAUGGGACGACCAGCCACACUGGGACGUGGACACGGCCCAGACUCCUACGGGAGGCAGCAGUGUGGAAUGUUGGGCAAGGGGGGCACCCCUUAUCCAGCCAGCCCGCGUGUGCGAUGAAGGCCUUCGGGUUGUAAAACUCUGUUGUUAGAGAAGCGGUAUCUAACCAGAAAGCCACGGCUAACUACGUGCCAGCAGCCGCGGUAAUAC
rnacentral:rRNA from 1 species